rnacentral:ncRNA from 1 species
UUAGCUACUUUAGAUAGACUUGUAUGCAGCAUUCUGGAUACAAGUACCCAUGUACUAUCUAGAAUGGCUAAAGUAUUUCGCUCUGAUUUUAGCCAGUGGACACAUCCAAAUGGCUGAAUCUUACAAAAAAAGAUUAUGUAACCCAUUUGGACUUUGUCUGGAUGGGUUUUUUAGAGCAAUUAU